rnacentral:lncRNA from 1 species
GGAUGGGCAAGGCUACGGGCGGGCAUUUUUAGCCAUUAGCUACAACACCUCCUGGAUGGGCAAGGACCACGCGUGGCGUCCGUCCAUGCCCUGCCGGCUGCCACGACUCUCGCGCGCGCGCGGUGUGCACGCGACGUACGCACGCAAUCGUGUGGUCCUUUGAGAUGGACUGUAGUAGCUUGCUAGGCAUUUUGCAUUGUGUACGUAGCGUAGUUUGUGUUGGAUCGUCUCUCUCUC